GUUUGAUCCUGGCUCAGGAUGAACGCUAGCGGCAGGCCUAACACAUGCUAGUCGAGGGGCAGCAUAAAAUAAGCUUGCUUAUUUGGUGGCGACCGGCGCACGGGUGCGUAACGCGUAUGCAAUCUACCCUAUACUGAGGGAUAGCCCGGAGAAAUUCGGAUUAACACCUCAUAGUAAUUAAAUAUCGCAUGAUAUUUAAUUUAAAGGUCACGGUAUAGGAUGAGCAUGCGUCCCAUUAGCUAGAUGGUAAGGUAACGGCUUACCAUGGCGACGAUGGGUAGGGGGCCUGACAGGGUGGUCCCCCACACUGGUACUGACACACGGACCACACUCCUACGGGAGGCAGCAUUGAGGAAUAUUGGUCAAUGGGCGCAAGCCUGAACCAGCCAUGCCGCGUGCAGGACGAAUGCCCUAUGGGUUGUAAACUGCUUUUAUUUGGGAAUAAACCUAUUUACAUGUAUAUAGCUGAAGGUACCAAAUGAAUAACCACCGGCUAACUCCGUGCCAGCAGCCGCGGUAAUACGGAGGGUGCAAGCGUUAUCCGGAAUCAUUGGGUUUAAAGGGUCCGCAGGCGGUGCUAUAAGUCAGUGGUGAAAUCUCAUACCUUAACUAUGAAACUGCCAUUGAUACUGUACCACUUGAAUUCGGUCGAAGUGGGCGGAAUAUGACAUGUAGCGGUGAAAUGCAUAGAUAUGUCAUACAACACCGAUAGCGAAGGCAGCUCACUACGCCUGGAUUGACGCUCANGACGAAAGCGUGAGGAGCAAACAGGAUUAGAUACGCUGGUAGUCCACGCCGUAAACUAUCAAUACUCGUUUUCAGCGAUAUACAGUUGGAGACUAAGCGAAAGUGAUAAGUAAUUGCACCUGGGGGAGUACGAUCGCAAGGUUGAAACUCAAAGGAAUUGACGGGGAGCCCGCACAA
rnacentral:rRNA from 1 species